CUUGCUCCCUUUCCUCUAGUUUAUUCUUUCUCUGAUUCUUAGUUCAGUUCAUAAAUCAGUUAAUAAAUCACCUGAUUUCCUCACGUGCAGCUAAUGUCCUACUCCGCUCAUCACUUAGCAUUUAAGCUAAUUGGUUUUCGACGUUUCUUCCGUUAUUUUGUCUGUUGCUUUCCCCAGUCCAUGUCGUUUCAAGUUCUGUGCAUAAAAUGACCGUCUUUUUCAGCUCUGGAAAAUAUGGAGGGCCAAGUUUGCCAUCAUCAAGAAGAGUGCUCCAAACUGUGAGGACAGCCCCUCCAGAAAACACUGGCCAGGCUCUCCAAACUCAAAGGACGAGCUCCAUUCACCGCCUGGCAACGCCGCUGAGAAAUGGAGAAGAGAUGGGCAAAGCGGAAUGGGUGGGCAGUAAAUUAUCCGCUUUUGGAAAGGGAAGACAAGAUAUUUAUUUAUAGCAUUCAAUCGGGGCACUCGGGAAGGGCUGAAAUGGGCUUGGGAGGGGCUGGGGGUUACGUCUUUUGCUAGGGGCAUCUUAGGUGGUCAGCUCUGACCUACACUAACCUCUUGUAUCCUGUCUUAUUCUCCCACCCUUCCACUUGUCUUGUACCCGACGCUCCCGAGACCUCCUUGGCAAUUAGGGAACCAGUCACACCCACUCCCUGCCCCCAAAAGGUAGUAAAUUUUCCCCCCUUUGGCCAGCCCUAUGACACACACACUCACACAUCCCCAGAAUUGAGGCUUCAAGACGCCAUUCAGCCCAAUGCCUGCUUGCUUUAUUCCCCACUCUACAUUUUAUAACCACCCCUUGUUUUGUUUUGCUGUCUCAAUCCAUCAAUCUUCCCAUUAGCCCUCCAUAUUACGGAAACCAUGGGGGAACGCCUCCUUUGCACCAGCCCUCCAUGCCCGUCUUCCUCUCUGCACCUCCUUCAGCCUCUACUUUCUCCUGGCUCUCUGUUCCUCCACCCCAGAGUCUGGCGUCCCUCUUAUUUCUACCUGUUGCUGUCUCAUGAUAAUGCAGCGUCUCUUGCGACCCUCACCUUCCACCCCAAGGUUGAUGCCAGACAAAGAAACAGUAAAAGAUGGAGAAGAUGCAUGUAGAAAGUAGAAGAUCAGGGAUGGUGAGGGUGGGAAGCGGAGGGGGCAGCAGCACUUUGGGUGGUAUGUUUUCUGCAAGGGUGGGACACAAUGCCCCCAGUGUUCAGGCGGGCCCGUAGGAGCUUGUUUUACAACAGGGGAGGGGCGGCCAUCAAUGGCCAGAUGAUGUGAAACACCCUGAGCCGAUUCACGGUGACAAACAGCACCCCCCCAGCCCUCACCAAGCAGACCCCCACCUCUUACUCGUCCUUUCUGCCUUCUCCCGUCAUCUCUCUCCUUCUCUCCACACAUUCUGCUCUGUUGGACCAAACCCAGGACGACCACGGAGAGCAUGCAACAACACCACAACCGAGUAGAUGGGAAGUGAGGGGGCACACACACCUACCCGUUCUCAAAACUUCUCACGUACAUAAUGCACAACGUCGUCUUCACGUCGGAAGAACUUCCUCCCCUUCCCUUGCAGUUGCAUCGAGCGUCUUCCGACUUAUUUUUGGCUUUCCAUUCAUUAAAAUGCGAAAUGGUUUGAUCAAAGGAUAUUUGGUAAAGAAACAAGAGCUAGAGUGUUGUUGCCAACUGGAUGCAAAGUCCUGGCUUGGUUUUAGAACUCUUUUCUCCUGGUGACUUGUUCCCUGUUUGGGAUGCCGAAGUUCGUUCAGCUCUGUUAGCAGCAAGUUUUAAAACCAUGUUCCAUUCAAGAGUGGCCGUAGUGACUCCUGCUUUUCACUCUCUUCUGUUCGUCUCAUGGCGAUUAAACUGGCCUGUCUUCUCAUUUUAACUGCA